GCAAACUUGGUCAUUUAGAGGAAGUAAAAGUCGUAACAAGGUUUCCGUAGGUGAACCUGCGGAAGGAUCAUUACCGAGCGCGUCCCCCGUUAAAAAAGGGGACACCUCCCGUCCUUUGCCGGCCCCCCCUAAAAAAGGGGGCUUUUCAGACUCUGCUUCGGCGGGGCGACCCGUCGGAACACCCUCAAGAAAUUCGUCAAACCGUUCCGUCCGAGCCUCUUGAAAAUGAAGCGAAAAACUUUCAACAACGGAUCUCUUGGUUCUGGCAUCGAUGAAGAACGCAGC
rnacentral:misc_RNA from 1 species